rnacentral:rRNA from 1 species
AACGAACGCUGGCGGCGUGCCUAACACAUGCAAGUCGAGCGAGAAAGUCGCCUUCGGGUGGCGAGUAAAGCGGCGCACGGGUGAGUAACACGUAGGUAAUCUACCUCAAGGUCUGGAAUAACUAGAGGAAACUCUAGCUAAUGCCGGAUAAGACCACGGCCUCUUCGGGGGCAGCGGUCAAAGGCGGCCUCUUCUUGAAAGCUGUCGCCAUGGGAUGAGCCUGCGGCCCAUUAGCUUGUUGGUGAGGUAACGGCUCACCAAGGCCAUGAUGGGUAGCUGGUCUGAGAGGAUGAUCAGCCACACUGGGACUGAGACACGGCCCAG